AGGUGCUGAAAGAAAAAAAAAAGAACCCCCCCCCAAGGAGGAGGUUUGCUUUUGUUCUGUUGGAAGAAGAAAGAAAGAAAGAAAGAAAGAAAGAAAGAAAGAAAGAAAGAAAGAAAGAAAGAAAGAAAGAAAGAAAGAAAGAAAGAAAGAAAGAAAGAAAGAAAGAAAGAAAGAAAGAAAGAAAGAAAGAAAGAAAGAAAGAAAGAAAGAAAGAAAGAAAGAAAGAAAGAAAGAAAGAAAGAAAGAAAGAAAGAAAGAAAGAAAGAAAGAAAGAAAGAAAGAAAGAUGCAGAGAGGGAA
rnacentral:lncRNA from 1 species